rnacentral:rRNA from 1 species
GAUUAAGCCAUGCAUGUUUAAGUUCACACUGUUUACGGUGAAACCGCGAAUGGCUCAUUACAACAGCUAUAAUUCACUUGAUGUUGACGAUCCUACUUGGAUAACUGCGGUAAUUCUGGAGCUAAUACAUGCAACAAAGCCUUGAAACCUUCGGGGCGCAUUUAUUAGAACAAAGCCAAUCGGCUUCGGCCGUUAGCUGGUGACUCUGAAUAACUAAGCUGAUCGCAUGGUCUUGAACCGGCGACAUAUCUUUCAAGUAUCUGCCUUAUCAACUGUCGAUGGUAGUUUAUGUGCCUACCAUGGUUGCAACGGGUAACGGAAAAUAAGGGUUUGAUUCCGGAGAGGGAGCCUGAAAAACGGCUACCACAUCUAAGGAUGGCAGCAGGCGCGCAAAUUACCCACUCUCAGUACGAGGAGGUAGUGACUAACAAUAACGAGACCGUCUUCUUUGAGGCCGGUUAUCGGAAUGGGUACAAUUUAAACCCUUAACGAGGAUCUAUGAGAGGGCAAGUC